UUUUUUCCUUCUGCUUUAUAUUAUACCUUAGAAUGUUCCUUACUGGGGCUGAGCUCUGUUCUCGGGGUAUGGCUACUUUGGGUACCUCACUGAGGGGACCUCUGAACAGAGUGUGCCAUCAGUAAAGAAGUGUUAGGUGAAUACACCUCACCAUUCAGGUUUUGUUGUCUUGUAGGUGAGAGGCAUAGAUCUCACUCGCGAUGGCAUCAGCAGCAUUGACGAUGUGAACCUAGUGAUCAGUGACCCGGGUGACCAGCAGAGCCGCUGACAAGACUAUCCCUCUCUUCCUGAUAGAGGAGAAUACAGCUAAUCCGUGCAGGUGACAAAGAUACAGAACAGCAGCGUGGCACUGCAUUGUCUGGAACUCAGACUCCUUUUUCCCUGGCGUUGUAUAAGAAGCCCGUGAUGUGUACCCAGCCACGGACCAUGUGAUUCCUCUGAGCCGAAAACAAAUUCUGCUUUGUGUCAGUCUGUUUUUAGGGAGGCCCCAGCACUACAUUGCUGCAGAAGUCUGCGCGUCUCCUGCCAACACAAGUGGCUUGAGAGCAGACCCAUCACUUAGGAGCAAUGUCAGUCCCACAGUAGAGAGCUUGGCCAGGGUCCCCUGGGCGGCAAGAGGCGGAACUGGC
rnacentral:lncRNA from 1 species